CUUUUUUUUUGGUAUUACUUUUUUUUGGUAUUACUUUUUUUUGGUAUUACUUUUUUUUGGUAUUACUUUUUUUCCGCUUUACUUAUUUCCGCGUUACCUUUUUUUUUUAUGUUCUUUCUUUUUAUGCUUUAUUAAAUGUUAUACUCUUUUUAUAACUUUUUUUUUUUAUAUACACACAAUUUAAUAGCACAAUUAUAAUUAAAUAGGUACAUAUAUAUAUAUAUAUAUAUUUAUAUAUGCUGUAACUCUAAUAAAAACAACAAAAUGAACAUAAAACACGUAGACGGAUGUGAGUACAAGGGAAGAGAAGAUGACUUUUAUACAAAAAAUGAAGCAAAUAAUUUUAUUAAAAAAUUAAUAAAUGAAAGAAAAAGGUAUAUGGUAGAUCAAGAUAGUUUUUAUUCUGAUGAUAAAAAUAUAUGUCCAAAUGUUUAUUGUAAUAUUUACACCGAUUUAUUUAACUGGUUUGGUUUUAAAAAUACAAGAAAAAUAAAUAAAAAAUCACUAAUUGCUUGUUUUACUGAUGUAACGAAUGGUGGAGUAGGGUAUUAUGAAAAAUUAAUUGUUUUAGGUGGGAGGAUAUUAGAGCUAUAUAGCGAGUUACAUUUUUAUAAUAAAUAUAAUUAUGAGAAGGAUGAAGAAAUUGUUUCUGAUUUAAAAAAUAUUAAAUCUGUUAAAGAUGUUGUUUAUCAUUACUUGUAUGUUCAAAAAAGAAAAAACAGGGUUACAUAUAAAAACAGUAUAUAUUUAUUUGGUUAUUCAUAUUUAUAUACACCCAUAUUUUUUAACAAUAAAAACGCAAUAAUAAAAUAUGUUAAAGCAUGUAUAGCUUAUGCUGUAAAAUUUAAUGAAACAAACAUUUUUUCUUGGAUAUCUUCUUUAAUUGAACAUAUAUAUUAUAGUCAGACGUUAAAAGUUUCAAAAGUACCAGUAGAAAAUGAACUCAUACAAGAUCUACAAGAAUUUAUGGGUUAUCGUUAUGAUUAUUUAUUACCUCGAAUAGUGGAAUGUUUUAAUUGUCACAAUAUAUAUAUAAAUAACUCACAGUUAACCGGAUUACAAAUUAUACGAUUAUUUUCUAAUGAUUAUUUUUCUCUAUUAGCGGAAGUAAUAAUUUUUUUUUUUUUUUUUACAUAUAACGCUAAUACGUUUUUUUUAUUUUUUUUUUUUAUUUUUUUUUUUUAUUUUUUUUUUUUAUUAUUUUUUUUUUUUUUUAUUUUUUCUAUUAUACAUUUCUCCAUUUUUCCUCUUCCGCAUGUUCUCAUUUUCUAUUUAUUUAUAUUAUUUAUUUUAUUUAUUUUAUUUAUAUUAUUUAUAUUAUUUGUU
rnacentral:lncRNA from 1 species